UAUAAAUAAUUAAUAAGGUGUUUAAUAUUGCUAGAGUUCUGAAAUUGCAAAGAAAAGUAUAUGUAGCGAAUACGGUUUUGUUGCAUUUUACAUUACAUAAGUGGACAUUUCAUAAUACAAAAUGGAACACUGCGGUCGAUAAUCUCAGCGCUGAUAAUUGGAAAGACUUUGGUUUUGACUCCAAAGAUUUUGACAUACAUGAAUACUAUAGAAAGGCAGUAAAGGGUUGUAAAUUUUACUUACUGAACGAAAACGUAGACGAUCUAACAGCAGCCAGACGUCAUUAUAAAAGGAUGGAGUGGCUUGAUAAAAUAAUCAAGACGUUAUUCGUCGUGUUUAUGUUAUGGAUACUUUAUAAGUAUAUAGCUACAUAUUAAGUAAUUAAACAACUAAUGUGUUAACCUUCGAACAAAUGUAAUCACCAACGUAUUAACUUGAUUGCAUCUGCCCCAAUAUAUCUCUUUCUUAUUAGGCAUCUUUUGUUGUGUUUCGUUAAUAAGUUCUCAUCAUAGCCGUAAGGCAAGUAACAACAAAGUUAGUAAUAUUAGUUAAGAACGUUGAAUUCACGAAUUCCUUUUUAUUAUGUACUACGUAUAAACGAAAUUAAUUAAAUCGAGUAAACAAGUAAGGUGAUUUGAAAAUGACACAUCUCAUUAACGUAAGAAUAAUCACGAAUUUACUUACUUAUACAUGGUACAUAAUAAAAACAAAUUCGUGAAUUCUACGUUCUUAACUAAUAUUACUGACUUUGCUGUUAAUUGCCUUAUGACUAUGAUGAGAACUUAUCAACGAAACAGAACAAAGACAUCUAAUCAGAAAAAGAUAUAUUGGGGCAUAUGCAAUCAAGUUAGUACGUUGAGUAUUAUGAUACAUUUGCUCGAAGGUUAGCUUAAAAAACGGUUCUUCUUUCACUCCGGUGAGAUCGCUUUUAGUCUUACGUUAACAAAUAGUAAUAGUUGAUUAAUUUCACAACUUUAAUAAUACUUUAAUAGGAAACCAAUGAACGAAUAACUCUGGAAUCAAACACAGUUAUGUUGAUGAUUCCAUAAUUAUAUGUAGUUUAGAUAUUCAGUCUUAUUUUACAAUAUUUAAUGUACAGGAAGUGAUAUAGAUCUUGUCUAAUGAUAAUGAUAUUCUUGAGAGAAUCAGGUUCUCCAUAUUAAUACCUUGAUCUGCAUACAUUGUGAGUCAUUUUGUGUUUCCUUUUUCAUAAACAAUUGAAACAACAAUAUAAACCAACGCUCGGAA